AUACGGAGGGUGCGAGCGUUAAUCGGAAUUACUGGGCGUAAAGCGCGCGUAGGCGGUUUGGUCAGUCAGAUGUGAAAGCCAUGGGCUCAACCUGGGAACUGCAUUUGAUACUGCCAGGCUAGAGUAUGGUAGAGGGAAGUGGAAUUCCGGGUGUAGCGGUGAAAUGCGUAGAUAUCCGGAGGAACACCAGUGGCGAAGGCGACUUCCUGGACCAAUACUGACGCUGAGGUGCGAAAGCGUGGGUAGCAAACAGGAUUAGAUACCCUAGUAGUCC
rnacentral:rRNA from 1 species